CCUACGGGGCGCUGCAGUGAGGAAUAUUGGUCAAUGGACGAGAGUCUGAACCAGCCAAGUAGCGUGAAGGAUGACUGCCCUAUGGGUUGUAAACUUCUUUUAUAUGGGAAUAAAACGUUCCACGUGUGGGAUUUUGUAUGUACCAUAUGAAUAAGGAUCGGCUAACUCCGUGCCAGCAGCCGCGGUAAUACGGAGGAUCCGAGCGUUAUCCGGAUUUAUUGGGUUUAAAGGGAGCGUAGGUGGAUUGUUAAGUCAGUUGUGAAAGUUUGCGGCUCAACCGUAAAAUUGCAGUUGAAACUGGCAGUCUUGAGUACAGUAGAGGUGGGCGGAAGUCGUGGUGUAGCGGUGAAAUGCUUAGAUAUCACGAAGAACUCCGAUUGCGAAGGCAGUUCACUGGACUGCAACUGACACUGAGGCUCGAAAGUGUGGGUAUCAAACAGGAUUAGAUACCCGUGUAGUC
rnacentral:rRNA from 1 species